GCCUUCGUGGUGUAGUGGUCAGCACGGUUUACGCUUAACCGCGAGGUUCGUGGUUCGAUUCCCGGCGAGAGCA
rnacentral:tRNA from 1 species